CAUUGGUAGUUCCUACGUUAUCGACAUUAAUAUUUACAUACACUCUGGUCCGUUGUUUAUAUCGUUGUCCAUAUUAUUAUUCCAUUAUUUAUCCCAAUAAAUGAACAUUGAAUGCUUCGAAGUUACAGUUUAUUAAGCAUCAAUGGGUACAUUCGUUUUUUUUUCGAGCACGGAGGAAUACUUGUGUGCAGUGUUCUAUCACCUUGCAUUCUGACAGGUAGAAAGGGUUAUGGUUGAUUACAAUCAUUAGCAAAAAAUUUACUAAUGAUUUGCACCAGGAGAAGGUCCGCCGAUGUUGGCACAUGCCGAGUGAUUUCUCUCUUCGAGGGAGAAAUUGGCAGUUCGACGAGAUAGAAUCUACUGAUUGUGAGAAAGACUGAGGAUGAAUUUAAUCCAAUAGUGGACUCAAUUUCAAUGCGAUAAAUAAAUCGAGGUAUGGAGCCGAGUAAGUCGAAUGGGAAAUUAAAUCAUGAUAGAUCGUGGAUUGAUUCUACUCCGAUCAUCAGCUACUAUCAACUUGUCAUAUUUAAAAUUAAAUUAUACAAGUGUAUAAAACAAAUUGUACGAAAGUAACUGUAUUUGAUUAAAACUGAUUAGAGAUUCAAUUCUUAUGAAUGAAUUAUGAA